rnacentral:rRNA from 1 species
UACGUAGGGUGCAAGCGUUAAUCGGAAUUACUGGGCGUAAAGCGUGCGCAGGCGGUUUUGUAAGUCUGACGUGAAAUCCCCGGGCUCAACCUGGGAAUUGCGUUGGAGACUGCAAGGCUAGAAUCUGGCAGAGGGGGGGUAGAAUUCCACGUGUAGCAGUGAAAUGCGUAGAGAUGUGGAGGAACACCGAUGGCGAAGGCAGCCCCCCUGGGCC